CACCUUACACCAGUUAGAAUGGCCAAAAUUAGCAAGACAGGAAACAACAUGUAUUGGCGAGGAUGCCGAAAAAGGGGAGCCCUGGAGUACUGUUGGUGGGAAUGCAAAUUGGUGCAUCCAUUCUGGAAAACAGCAUGGCGUUUCCUCAA